AUUGAACGCUGGCGGCAGGCCUAACACAUGCAAGUCGAACGGUAACAGGAAACAGCUUGCUGUUUCGCUGACGAGUGGAGGACGGGUGAGUAAUGUCUGGGAAACUGCCUGAUGGAGGGGGAUAACUACUGGAAACGGUAGCUAAUACCGCAUAACGUCGCAAGACCAAAGAGGGGGAACUUAGGGCCUCUUGCCAUCGGAUGUGCCCAGAUGGGAUUAGCUAGUAGGUGGGGUAAAGGCUCACCUAGGCGACGAUCCCUAGCUGGUCUGAGAGGAUGACCAGCCACACUGGAACUGAGACACGGUCCAGACUCCUACGGGAGGCAGCAGUGGGGAAUAUUGCACAAUGGGCGCAAGCCUGAUGCAGCCAUGCCGCGUGUAUGAAGAAGGCCUUCGGGUUGUAAAGUACUUUCAGCGGGGAGGAAGGGAGUAAAGUUAAUACCUUUGCUCAUUGACGUUACCCGCAGAAGAAGCACCGGCUAACUCCGUGCCAGCCGCCGCCGUAACAC
rnacentral:rRNA from 1 species